rnacentral:lncRNA from 1 species
GAGAGAGAGAGAGAGAGAGAGAGAGAGAGAAUCAAAGAGAGAGAAAAUAGAGUGCACUGCACGGUAGGAAAACGAAGAAGAGAGAGAAAAGAGAGAGAGUAGUAUUGGAAAUAAUGUUUGUAUACAUCAAAUAUUUUAACCACUUUUUUUUUUAAAGCGGAGAAAAGAUUUUGAACGUGCAUUCAGAUUUUUCAAACGAGGUAAGAUACAUUUAUGUGCAAAGUGUUUUCGUUUUCUUAUGCUCUUAUAUGCGAUUAAAUACGCAUAGAUUGCUAGUGGACUUUCGGGUUCUAGAGCAAGAGUUAUAAAAUUCCUACGGGAAUUUAAGAGGACCUAAGAUGGGUGUGUCGCUUGGUUACCGAUAUACUCCAUAAGAGAAGAGCGAUAUAAAGUGUAGAUUUUAUUGUUAUAUAUCUAUAUAUGAAAAUUGUACGUAUCUUACUGGGUAUUUUUAAAUACUUACUCUUACAUUAAUUUUACAGGUUAGUUCAGGUCGAUUGGGACAGUGGCAAAUUGGUGAUGCGGGCUGUCAAAUGGAUAAAGAUUAGAGAAAACGAAAUAAGUUUGCCUUUUUAAAUCAUUAGUUUAAAUUUUAUUCAGAAUGUGUUAUUUGAAUUAGUUAAAAGUUUAUGUUAUGUUUAGAUACGAUUUUCACGAUUUAAAAUUUAGAUUUAUAAAUGUUGUAGUUAUUUGAUUAAUAAAGAAUCUUUAUUUUUAUAAUUCCGCA